AAGGCUACAUGCUGCUACGCAAGCGUGCAGUCGAGCGAAUCUGAGGGAGCUUGCUCCCAAAGAUUAGCGGCGGACGGGUGAGUAACACGUGGGUAACCUGCCUGUAAGAUUGGGAUCAAAAAAAACGGGGAAACCGGAGCUUAAUACCGGGAUAAAAUUUCGGAACCGCAUGCGUUCGAAACUGAAAGACGGCUUUUGCUGUCAAUUACACGAGGGACCCGCGGCGCCAUUAGCUAGUUGGUGAGGUAACGGCUCACCAAGGCAACGAUGCGUAGCGCGACCUGAGAGGGUGAUCGGCAAAACUGGGACCGAGACACGGCCCAGACUCCUACGGGAGGCAGCAGUAGGGAAUCUUCCGCAAUGGACGAAAGUCUGACGGAGCAACGCCGCGUGAACGAUGAAGGCCUUCGGGUCGUAAAGUUCUGUUGUUAGGGAAGAACAAGUACCAGAGUAACUGCUGGUACCUUGACGGUACCUAACCAGAAAGCCAAGGCUAACUACGUGCCAGCAGCCGCGGUAAUACGUAGGUGGCAAGCGUUGUCCGGAAUUAUUGGGCGUAAAGCGCGCGCAGGCGGUUUCUUAAGUCUGAUGUGAAAGCCCACGGCUCAACCGUGGAGGGUCAUUGGAAACUGGGAAACUUGAGUGCAGAAAAGGAGAGUGGAAUUCCACGUGUAGCGGUGAAAUGCGUAGAGAUGUGGAGGAACACCAGUGGCGAAGGCGACUCUCUGGUCUGUAACUGACGCUGAAGCGCGAAAGCGUGGGGAGCGAACAGGAUUAAAUACCCUGGUAGUCCACGCCGUAAACGAUGAGUGCUAAGUGUUAGAGGGUUUCCGCCCUUUAGUGCUGCAGCAAACGCAUUAAGCACUCCCCCCUGGGGAGUACGGUCGCAAGACUGAAACUCAAAGGAAUUGACGGGGGCCCCCACCAACCGGUGGAACCAUGUCGUUUAAUUUCAGAAGCAACCGCGAAGAGACCUUUACCAAGGUCUUGGACAUCCGUUCGCUACUUCUUAGAAGAUAGAAGGGUUUCCCCUUUCCGGGGGAACAGAAGUGAACAGGUGGUUUCCAUGGGUUGUUCGGUCAGCCUCCCUGUCCCGUGAGAAUAUGUUGGAUUUAAAUUCCCCCCGGCCCAACCAGCGCACAGCCCUUGGAUUCUUUAGUUGUUCCCAACCAUAUCAAUUGUUCGGCCACUCUAGAGGA
rnacentral:rRNA from 2 species